UACGUAGGGGGCAAGCGUUGUCCGGAAUUAUUGGGCGUAAAGAGCGCGUAGGCGGUCCGAUAAGUCGGCUGUGAAAGUCAGGGGCUCAACCCUUGAAAGCCGGCCGAUACUGUCGGACUAGAGUCCGGAAGAGGCGAGUGGAAUUCCUGGUGUAGCGGUGGAAUGCGCAGAUAUCAGGAGGAACACCAAUAGCGAAGGCAGCUCGCUGGGACGUUACUGACACUGAGGCGCGAAAGCGUGGGGAGCGAACAGG
rnacentral:rRNA from 1 species